rnacentral:rRNA from 1 species
UCUUGCGUAUACUGCAGUCGAGCGAAUCGACGGGAGCUUGCUCCNUGAGAUUANCGGCGGACGGGUGAGUAACANGNGGGCAACCUGCCUAUAAGACUGGGAUAACUUCGGGAAACCGGAGCUAAUACCGGAUACGUUCUUUUCUCGCAUGANAGAAGAUGGAAAGACGGUUUACGCUGUCNCUUAUNGAUGGGCCCGCGGCGCAUUAGCUAGUUGGUGAGGUAAUGGCUCACCAAGGCGACGAUGCGUANCCGACCUGAGAGGGUGAUCGGCCACACUGGGACUGANACACGGCCCAGACUCCUACGGGAGGCAGCAGUAGGGAAUCUUCCGCAAUGGACGAAAGUCUGACGGAGCAACGCCGCGUGAACGAAGAAGGCCUUCGGGUCNUAAAGUUCUGUUGUUAGGGAANAACANGUNCCANAGUAACUGCUGGUACCUUGACGGNACCUAACCAGAAAGCCACGGNUAACUACNUGCCAGCANCCGCGGUAAUACNUAGGUGGCAAGCGUUGUCCGGAAUUAUUGGGCGUAAAGCGCGCGCAGGUGGUUCCUUANNUCUGAUGUGAAAGCCCACGGCUCAACCGUGGAGGGUCAUUGGAAACUGGGGNACUUGAGUGCAGAAGAGGAAAGUGGAAUUCCAANUGUAGCGGUGAAAUGCGUAGAGAUUUGGAGGAACACCAGUGGCGAAGGCGACUUUCUGGUCUGUAACUGACACUGAGGCGCGAAAGCGUGNGGAGCAAACAGGAUUANAUACCCUGGUAGUCCACGCCGUAAACNAUGAGUGCUAAGUGUUAGAGGGUUUCCGCCCUUUAGUGCUGCAGCUAACGCAUUANGCANUCCGNCUGGGGAGUACGGCCGCNAGGCUGAAACUCAAUGAAUUGACGGNNNCCCGCACANNCGGUNGAGCAUGUGNUUUAAUUCGAAGCAACGCGAAGAUCU